rnacentral:rRNA from 1 species
GACGAACGCUGGCGGCGUGCUUAACACAUGCAAGUCGAACGGAAAGGCCUGCUUUCCCUUGUGGAUUGCGGGUACUCGAGUGGCGAACGGGUGAGUAACACGUGAGUGAUCUGCCCCCAACUUGGGUAUAAGCCUGGGAAACUGGGUCUACUUCCCGAUAGCACUGCAGGGUGGUGCCUGUGGUGGAAAACGAUUUUCUAGUGGUUGGGGAUGAGCUCGCGGCCUAUCAGCUUGUGGGUGGGGUAAUGGCCUACCAAGGCGGCGACGGGUAGCCGGCCUGAGAGGGUGGACGGCCACAUUGGGACUGAGAUACGGCCCAGACUCCUACGGGAGGCAGCAGUGGGGAAUAGUGCACAAUGGGCGGAAGCCUGAUGCAGCGACGCCGCGUGGGGGAUGACGGCCUUCGGGUUGUAAACUCCUUUCGACCGCGAGGAAGCCACCUGGUUGGAAGGGUGGUGACGGUAGUGGUAGAAGAAGCACCGGCUAACUACGUG